rnacentral:rRNA from 1 species
UGGUGGAGUGAUUUGUCUGGUUAAUUCCGUUAACGAACGAGACCUCAGCCUACUAAAUAGUGGCUACUAGUUCACGCUAGUACGUCGACUUCUUAGAGGGACUAUUCGUGUUUAACGAUUGGAAGUUUGAGGCAAUAACA